CAAACAAUGACUUCAUAUGUGUUUCAUCAAAGGGUCAAUCGGUUGUUGAUUAUUGUAUUACUAGCUAUGAAAAUCUUCAUUUUUUUUUUCAAGACUUCAAAGUUAUUAGAGCUUCGGACUUAAUUAUAAAAUCUAAGCUUAAUAUGACUGGGUUGGAUGCGAGAUCGAUACCCGACCAUUCUUUGUUGUAUUGUGAGUUAAACAGCAGUGCCUCAUUACCGUCGUGUCAUACCUCAGGAAAUCGUAGUCCUGAAUUUAUUAAGUUUGAUGUAAAAAAAAAAUACCUUCAAAUUUUUGUCACGGCGAUGAUAUACAUUUACGACUCUUAGAUACUAUCAAUGGUCUUGAAACAAACGAAGUAUCCCAAUGUAAUAUUGAUCAAGUUUAUACUGAGUAUUGU
rnacentral:lncRNA from 1 species